rnacentral:rRNA from 1 species
GAUGAACGCUGGCGGCGUGCCUAAUACAUGCAAGUCGAGCGAACAGAUAAGGAGCUUGCUCCUUUGACGUUAGCGGCGGACGGGUGAGUAACACGUGGGUAACCUACCUAUAAGACUGGGAUAACUUCGGGAAACCGGAGCUAAUACCGGAUAACAUUUGGAACCGCAUGGUUCUAAAGUGAAAGAUGGUUUUGCUAUCACUUAUAGAUGGACCCGCGCCGUAUUAGCUAGUUGGUAAGGUAACGGCUUACCAAGGCGACGAUACGUAGCCGGCCUGAGAGGGUGAUCGGCCACACUGGAACUGAGACACGGUCCAGACUCCUACGGGAGGCAGCAGUAGGGAAUCUUCCGCAAUGGGCGAAAGCCUGACGGAGCAACGCCGCGUGAGUGAUGAAGGGUUUCGGCUCGUAAAACUCUGUUAUUAGGGAAGAACAAAUGUGUAAGUAACUGUGCACGUCUUGACGGUACCUAAUCAGAAAGCCACGGCUAACUACGUG